rnacentral:rRNA from 3 species
GGGGACGUAACAAAGCGACCCAGGAAUGCUUGGGCGUGCCUCCACCCACGCCGGCGUCGGCGGGCGUAUUUCGCCUCACAGUAGGUCGCCGCGACCCGUUGCUUUUGGGGACGUCGAAGGCCCGGACGGAUUGGUACCCUACCGGCUGGGGAUGCGGCUUCGGCUUCUCCUCUUGUCCGGUGGGCGAAACCGCCGGUGUCCUGGCUGCCCUGCGACGGUCGUAGAGACGAGCCCUCCCCAUUCGUGGGGGGCGGCUCUCGCGGCGUGCAAAAGGUCGGUGAUCCACCCGACCCGUCUUGAAACACGGACCAAGGAGUCUAACAUGUGUGCGAGUCAGUGGGCGCACUAAACCCAGAGGCGUAAUGAAAGUGACACGGGUUCGGCUGUCGCCUCGUGUGGCAGCCGGACUCAGGGCCGAUCCCUCACCGGUUGCCCUCGCCUCUCUCCCGCGUCUCGGUAAGCCGGGUGAGCUAUUUUCCCCGGCCAAUGCUGCGGGGCUCGGGGGGAGGCGGGGUGCGAUGGUGUCCGUAAACAAGAGCCUGCUGUUGCAGGGGGGCGCAGGCCCGGGACUUGCCAAGACGCCGCGAGACUGUCACUUUGCUGUGAGGCUCCAGGGCCGAUCAGCGGGUCAUGCGUGCAGUCGGCAAGUACCAUGAGCAGACAUGUUGGGACCCGAAAGAUGGUGAACUAUGCCUGGCCAGGAUGAAGCCAGAGGAAACUCUGGUGGAGGUCCGUAGCGAUUCUGACGUGCAAAUCGAUCGUCGGAGCUGGGUAUAGGGGCGA